rnacentral:misc_RNA from 1 species
GUUGAGUUGAGUUGAGUUGCUGAUAAUGAUAGCCACUUUUACACUAACCAGACUCGUCCAGAACUGUAGGUUUCUUAACAUGAAGAAGUUCCUUUAUUUUUUUCUGCACUUCUUCAUUUCCCAAUCCUGUGUUCAAAACAAUAACAUCUUGUCCCCUGGAGUUAUUUGUCAAAUUUGCAUGCAUGAACAUGAGAAACAGAGAUUAGAUAAGACUUUUGGGCUCUUUGGGUGGGGGGUUAUACUCAACUAAAAUAAUGUAAUUAGCCUUACACAGAGAUUGCCAAGAUAGGAAGCUCAUGUAAAGGAUUCCAUGCUACACACUGAACAGCUUCACUAACUCCCAGAUUUUAAGACAUCUACCAGUCUCAACCUCCCACACACGUGCAGUUCCAUCAGUUGAACCUGAAGCAAUCGACUGCCCUGAAGCUUCAGUAGAAUUUGACAUAACUGCACCUUUGUGACCUUUAUACUCAAGAUAGCAUUUCACUUGGUAGGGUUUAAGAUCUUUUCUACCUGGUAGCUAAGGUUUCAAGGAUUCAGGAUCAAUAUUAAUCUGAAAUAUCAAAGGAAGUAAUUUUGAUUAACUUUAUCAGAACAGAUGCAUAAUAGAUCAGUUCAAAGAUCUUGCAAGUUAUCUAAACCAAAUUUUUGGAGCAUCCAUAAACAUGGUCUCCAUUGGGGGUAACUAACUUACACGUUUCUUACGAACUCUAUGACACAAGUAUAGAUCCAAACAUCGCUCAAAAGAGUCCUUAACGGCAUUCUCAUAUGCUGGAAUACUUCUUAGAGAUGUGUACCAAAGUAUAGCAAAUUUUGUUAAAAUGCUUGAUAUUCAACAAUAAAAAAAAAUGGAAAGAAAUAUUAUUGGCCAAAGAUUUUGAGUCACUGUUUAGGUAUAAAUUUAGGUCGGUCUUCCUCAUCCAUCAGCUGAUAAGAAUUAAUCUCUUCCUGUGUUGGUAUGUAUUCUAGAGAAGGAUUAUAUGACUCCUCAUGGCCUGAAACAUAAUUCAGUUAAGAUACAUCAUCUGAGCAAACUAGUGAAAUUAGAAAACUUGGGAGAUGGGUAAAAUUGUGCCUGGCAAUUUUGGCUUUGGUGCAGGAAUGUAUGAUAAAUGUGCAGCCUUUUCUGCCGAGCCAGAAUCAUCCCCCCACAACAGGUGAAAACGUGGUUCUUCUUUUGGCUUGUCAAACUUUAAUAAACCUUUGCGAAUUGCCCUAACAUACUUAACAACCAUUUUAGCUUCCCACUUUGAGGGAGUAAACCGCCUCUUUGGUUCUGGAGCAUUUGAUAGUGGGUGCUUAGCGUCCCAUCUAAACCAGUCACUGUAUGUUGGAUAUGGAUCAAAGUCGAGAUGUGGCGCUUUUCCUUUGACCAAUCUACGAAUAACUUUGAUUUCUUCUUUUGUCAGCUCUACCACCUCAUCAUUGUAUUCAUCAUAAAUCUUGCGCCAAUUUUCAGAGUCAUCAGCACUUGCAAGAAAUGACUCCAGUUUAUCUUGCCUCUCUUUCUUUGUUAUCUUCUUUCCAGUAAUGUCAUAUCCAAUAUGUUUUUCAUCCUCAUACCACUUCAAGGGAACAUCUCCAAUUGUAUUUCGAGGUGCCACCUCGUCCUCGGAAGAAUCACUUUCUUCAGCCACUCUAUCAGAUUCUGAAUCAUUGCUUUGAUCUUCAUUAUCCAUGCCAUCAUCAUUGUCCGUGUCAAUAGAACCCUCAUCACCAGAAGAAUUGCUUUCUCCAGACUCUGACCCUCCAGAUGAUUCAUAAAACUCAUCCUCAUAAUCAGAAAGUUCCUGGUAGUCAGACUCAGAAUCAGAAGCUAUUUCUUCUUCCUCUUCUUCUUGAUGAUGUUCAGGUUCUUCACUGUUAUUAACCUUCUCUUUAUUGGAUUGACUUGAGAUAGUUUCUUCUUUGAUUAUGGUGUUCUUACUCUUCUGCUUCCCUAAAUUCCCUAAAUUCUUGUCCUUGCCCACCCCCAUUUUCUCUCUCUGUCAAAGAUAUUCUCUCUUCAGAUAUUCUCUCUCUCUAGUAGCAGAAGUUGGGAGAAAAGAGAAAGCGGCAACAAGGUGAAGGUUGUGUUUAGGGCUUCAAGGGUUUUAGGGGCGCCAAAGAUGAGAGUGGAAACAGAACAGCAGACAUGGGCUUUUUACGGCUUACACUUAGCCCCAAAUGAAAA